rnacentral:rRNA from 1 species
GAGUUUGAUCAUGGCUCAGAAUAAACGUUGGCGGCGUGCUUAACACAUGCAAGUCGAGCGAGAAAGGUCUUCGGACUGAGUACAGCGGCAAACGGGUGAGUAACACGUGGGAAUCUACCUUUAAGUGAAGAAUACCCUCGAGAAAUCGAGGUUAAUACUGCAUACGUCUCGAAAGAGAGAAAGAUGGCCUCUUUGCUGUCGCUGAAAGAUGAGCCUGCGGACUAUUAGCUAGUUGGUGGGGUAAAGGCCUACCAAGGCUAUGAUGGUUAGCCGGCCUGAGAGGGUGUACGGCCACACUGGAACUUAGACACGGUCCAGACUCCUACGGGAGGCAGCAGUGAGGAAUAUUGCGCAAUGGGCGAAAGCCUGACGCAGCGACGCCGCGUGGAGGAUGAAGGUCUUAGGAUUGUAAACUUCUGUUAAGUGGGAAGAAAGACAAGGUGUUAAUACCACCUUGGGAUGACGGUACCGCUAGAGAAAGCACCGGCUAACUUCGUGCCAGCAGCCGCGGUAAUACGAAGGGUGCAAACGUUAUUCGGAUUUAUUGGGCGUAAAGGGUACGCAGGCGGUGCGUUAAGUCAACUGUUAAAUCUCCCGGCCUAACUGGGAAUCAGCGGUAGAUACUGGCGCACUA